rnacentral:lncRNA from 1 species
CUUCAUUAUAAUUGCUUCAUUGUUUGGAAUGUUAGCAUUUUGAUUUACCUCUCUUUUUGUUUAAUCAGUUAGCUAGUGUUUCACAGUAUUAAUUUCAAAACAAUUCCCAGUUUUAGUUUUCAAUUCAAUGUUAAGGGUUUAAAAUAAUUUAUUUCAUAGGUUUUCUUUACAUUUAAUGUCUCAGACAUACAUUAUUCAACGUAAGGUGCUGAACAGAGUACUGUAAAAAGGGAGAAAAAAAGGAGAUAAGCAACUGUCAGUUUCAUUAGCAUCUGAACCCUAACUUGUCAACUCUUGCCAGGAUAGAUUUGUCUCACCCCCUUGUGCUUACCAGAAACACCAGCUGCUGAAGUUCCAAGUUGGUAAAUAAAAGUUUGUAGGAUUACGUAUGCAUUCAGUUUUGACACACAAGCCAACCAGAGGAUUCAGUCAUAAACGCUAACAUGUCUAUUUCCGGUUUCUGCACUAACAUUAAGCUAAACUUCAAACCACAAAAACACUGGGACUGUCAUUGAAAAGGCAGGCCAUCAGAGAGCGGAAGCUUCCAGAGGACAACGCCAGCACAGGCUGAUGAUGGACUUACAGAGGCUUUUCCUUGUAAUGAAGGCCACUGGCACACCAGACAGCAAGCCCCGCCUGGGGCCAGUCACAUGAUGAUAUAAUUCUGAUGGAACACUUGGCCUGAGGGCAAACCCAUCAACACACACACGUGCUCCAAGUUCUCUAGGCACACCACACACACAGUACAGUGCAGCAUGUCCGCAGGUCAGGGUAGCCAAUUGACCGACCCGUAAUCCUCUGGGAUGUAGGAACCGGAAAACCUGCAGCCCCUCGCGUGGGGAGCUGUCUGGGUCUGACCAUAUUUGUGGGCACAGGCAUAGGUGUCACUCUCAGGGGUACCUCCUCUUGGGGGAGGGGCAGGCCAUUUCCUGGGAGAUAGCAGCGCCAUUUUCGCUGCCAUCCAGGUCAGGCUCUGGGACCCCUCUGACUCGUCUUCAUAGGAGGGGGCUAGGAGUAGCCAGAAGCGUCACAUGGGAAAAGGAACUCACUAAUUCCUCCAAUCAAGAAAAUGAACUGUUCAGAGAAGGUGCCAUGGAGAUGCCUACAGAAACCACAUACUGCAUCGAAAGAUCCAGAAAUGAACUUUGUGAUGCAAUGAAUUGAACUGAGGGAGGUUGAAUUCAUUUUUUUGGAAUGUAACUUUCUUAAGCCAAAGGGAAUUGCUACCUAAUUGGCUUUUUAUCAAUUUUCCCACCUAACACUUGUUUUGCUCUCUUUCUCUUUUAUUUCCCCUUUAUCCCCAAAUUUAUCAUUAGAAAGUACAAUAUUAUAUGAGUUCUAGUAAGAGAUCUUUAGAGAUAUAAGCUGGUAAUG